UACAUGGCAUGCCAAACUUCUCUCUCAGUUUGUGUAUUUUCUUUUCACUUUCUUAAUGGUAUUUUUUCCUGUGAUCAUUUUUAAAAAGGAUAUAUGAGUGUACCAGGCAAUUGAGAAUUCAUGGAUUACUCCUAAGCUAGUCCAGUGCAAUCCACAUUGUUAACUGUUUAUUCCUGAUGUAGUAACAAUCUGAUGCUCAUACAAAUAAAGUUGCAUUUACAAAAUACACAAAGUAAACAGCACUGAAACUAUUGCAGGGCCUUUGUAUCUCCAAAAUUUGAUCACAGUAGCUCUGUGGUGUCACAAAUGGGUACUUCACAUGAACUCAGGAGUAGGCUACCUCAUGUCCUUUAUCCUUGGCCUCCUUAUCAUUAUGUACUGUUCAGAAUUCAAUGGAGGGAGGAUGGACUAUAUCACUGUCAGUGCUGCUAGUGUCCCCUAUGAAAACUUUAUUUCUUCUGACUGGAUAUCACCUGUGAGUUCUGUGACACAACUUUACAUUUAUUUAUGUCCUACAUCUCACUCUGCUACGACAUUUUAUUCUCUUAGGCUUUGCAAUAGAACUCAUCCUCAUCAUCAAACACAGAGAGGUAUUUAUCUCCAACUAUCUGUGCUGGACUCUGUGGCAGGCAAGGAAGAUGCAGAGGCUCAUGGAUGAAUAUAAGAAAUAUGUAACCUCAAGGGUCUUCCAUCUUUUUCAAAGAAUUGGACAUAUAGAUAAAUAAAAACAUAAUACACAUUACUAAAUACAACCCUGGAAAUGUUAUUCAUAUGGUUUAAUCUGAGAGGAGGGUCAUUUAAUUGAUCUAUGACCACCAAGAAAAGCUUACUAAUAGAGGUAUGGCUUGAGAGGACUAGUAAAACUUAUUCCACAAGAGGUCACACCUUGUGAAAGUUAUGGAGUGUGGAAAAACAUGUAGUGAGAACAGCAGCCAAUAUGAGGUUGCUCAAGUGGGAUCUGGGAAUGGUGGGAAGUGAGAGCAGGCUGAAAUGUGGUCAGGGAGAGGUGUCUUUUAUGACACACUAAGGAUCAGGAACUGUAGACUAUAAACUGAUAGAGCCUGUUUUUUUAUGCCUCAAGCAAAAUGUCAGGUAAAAUUCAAAACUUCUGACACAAUUUCAUGCAACAUAGAGACUAUGAAAAUUGCUGAAGGAUUUUAAAACGAGUGACAUGGGUCAAUCAGCUAUUCAGAAAGAUCACUCUGGAAGUUAUCAUGAAGGAUAGCUUGAGGAAAGUAAGACAAAAGGGAGAAGGACUAGAGUCUGUUGGCAUUCCCUAGAAAUAUAGAUCUUAGCCAUGAAAGUGUUACAGUGACUCUUCAUAUUACUGCAAUUAUUAUUAAUAGCUACAUUUAUGUAUGUUCAGUAUAUGUUAGGCACUGUGUUAAUAGGUUAAUAUAUUAUCUCAUAAUAACACCAAGAGCAAACCUAUGAAGAUUAUAUUAAUAUUCACCAUGUUAGUCCAGACUCUUAGCAAAGCAGACACCAAGAAAGGGCCAUAUCUGCAAUGAUUUUUCACUCCUACCACAAGCAAAAUGCUUGUGUAAGAGAAAAUAGGGAAGGCUCCAGAGGAGGAUGAGAAAGACCAUGAUGUAAGAUUAAUCCAGAAGGAAGUAAAGGGGAGGGAAGGAUGUGUGGCAGUGACUUAGAUGGCAGUGGAGUCUAAUGAAGCUUUGUCAAGGACAGCAGGGAGUUUGGCCCAAAGUCAGCAGUUGUAAGUGUCCCUUCUAUCCCAAGAACAAGACUCACUCAAUAUUUCUGCCCUGCUUUGAUACCUGCUGGGAGUAGCCCCCAGGAAGCAUGGCCUCAGAGAGAAUGUGGCAAUGGGUUUUAGAGCAUGGUGUCUAGAGCCCUUCUUCAGCUAUACAUUCCCUACUUAGAGGCCUGUAAGAAUCAUUCUCUUAGCAAGAACCAGCUAUAUAAUAUGUGGAGCCUAGUGCAGAAUGACAAUGUGAAACCCUUUGUUAAAAAUUUUUAAAUAUUUCAAUAUGACAACGACAGAGCAGUAAACUGAGUGUGGGCCCUCCUAAGCACAUGGCUGUGUGUGGCUGCACAGGGUGGCAUACCCAUGAAGUCAGCACUGCUCAUAGCUACCACAGCCUAGAUGAGAAACAAAUGUUAAACUCUCAACAUUGAAAAGCUAAGAAAUUGUUGUCAUUUUACAAAUGCAAGUAUUUGCACAUUGAAAUACCAUUUUCCUGCACCUAUUUUAAAAACAGUUUUUAAAAGGUGGGCUAAGUUGAAAAGACUUGAACAGUUGAAAUUGAUUGAACUUGGUGUAUUAUUUUUGUACAGGUUGAGGGAUAUUUUUAUGUGUGCAUGAAGGAUGUGAGAGGAGAUUCUUGCUGAACAUAAAUUGGUACCCUACAGCAGAGAUAGAUAAUUCAGGAAAAGAAACAGGUUGGAGGCAUGGAUCCUGAGAAUACUUUUGGACAUGCUGAUUUUGAAGUGCAUUGGGACGUCUAACUCAAGAUCUGAAGGACACAGCUGGGUGCAUGAGUCAGAAGUUUGGGUGAGAGGCCUGGGCAGAAAUGAAAAAUGUGUACAAUCAGCACAUUACCAGUUUAUUGACCCAUCUGAAAUAAGUGAUGUACAAAUCCAAAAUGGUUUUAUUUUUAUCCAAUUAUUUCCUUUGAGAAAGAAAAGCAGCCCCUCAGCUGUCAGCUGAGAGCUGACCUUGCACUAACAGCUAGGCCAUGGUAUUCUCCUGACAAACUAAACCAUUUCACAGAACACCAAUAUCAGACAAGGUCAUUCUGUGACAAUGACGGAGUGAGCUAAAAACAAGCCCCCUCCAUAAUCGUGACUGAGCACAGACAGAUAAAACACCGUCCAUACUACAAAAAUGGCCAAACAACCCCCUCUCCAGACUAGCAUGAGUUCCUGCUUCUCUGUUAUUGAUUAUAACUUUUGCCCUGCUUUGUGUUCUCUGCCUCCUUUUUGUUUUCUUUUCUUCUUCUCUUUUUUUUUAAAGAGACACAGACUUGCUCUGUCAUCCAGGAUGGAGUGCACAAUAGUGGCAUGAUCAUAGUUCACUACAGCCUGCAGCCUAAGCAAUCUUCCUGCCUCAGCCUCCCAAGUAGCUAGGACUGUAGCUCUCUGCUACAUGACUCUGACUUCUCCUCUGCCUGUCUCUGACUUCUCCUGUAGCAGCUAGAGAAAAAAUUCUGCUUACAAGGAGUUCAUUUGACUAGAUCAGGUCCACUCAGGUUAAUCUUCAUUUUGCCAUAUAUUUAACCACGGACAUGAUGUCUUAUGUCUACAGGUUCCAUCCAAACCCAAUGGGAUUACACAGAUUAUUUAUAUCAAGAGAAAAUAAUCUUAAGGCCAGUUCAGAAUCCAUAAUGAGCUUUUUCAUUCUUGAAGGAGUACCUUGGCCCUAAAGCAUUGAUGCUUUCUUUAUGAUAUGAAAUAGUUGAAUCUAGAUUCAGAUCUUAAUUAGUAGAUUCAUAACGGGAAAUGUCCCUUCAAGGUUUUUUAAAGGCACUAAAGUGCUUAAAAAUCAGUAAGAGAGAUUACCUCACAUUUGAAGAGUAAAGAGAAAGAAACAUUAAUCCACAACGUCAGCAGAUAUUUAAGGGAUGGUGAAGGUAGUGAAGUAAAUAGAGGAUAGUCAGAGAAUUUGAAGACGGGUAGAGGAUGGUUCUCUGUCAUGUCAAAGAAAUCAAAGGAACAAAAGGUUUUAAGGUAGAAAAUCUUUACAACACGGUCAAAUGAAGGAAAAAGUUUGGAUUUUUAGAAGAACCAUUAUCUUUGUCCAUGAGUUAACAGAGUGAUAAGUACGAUCGUGUGAUGGAGGCAAGAUAUAUUUUAGAAAGAGGAAGCAGGGACAAAUCUGUACAUUGACUAUUUGAAUGAGGAUGUGGUAGGAGAUAAUGGAAAACAAGAUCAAAAUAUUUUGUAUGGUUUUGUAUUAAACUUUGCUGCUUAUUCCUUUUUAGUAUGAGAAAGACUUGAGAUUAUUUAUAGCCAUUGGGAAAGGAGCCAGUAAAUAAUUAAUAGGUUUGAAAAUCCACAAGAGGAAGGGCAUAAUUAAUACAGUAGGAAUCUACAAGAAAAAAGGAAAGAUAGAAUGAAGGAUGACAGUGUAAAUAAAACUCAUCCUGGGAUUCUUGCAGAAAGGGCAAAAGGAUGGCUGUAAAAAUACAAAGAAAUACAUCUUUAAAGUGAGUGGACAGGAUAUUGAAGGAGAAAGUACUCUAGUACUUUUAGUUUGCUAAAUGAAACAAAUUCAAAGAUGCAACACCAUUAACUGGGAGCAAGAGUUCCAGGCAAUGAGUAAGAAACCUUAUUAACCUAAUCAGGGGGUUAAUAAAAUGCAUUGAAAUCAUGAGAUGAUAAAAGCUAAAUUAAAGAAGUGGUAGAUGGGACCAACAUACAGCUGGGAUUAGGGAUCAAAGUUUUAUUGGCAUCAGUUUACACACUUAUGUAAUGUUCCAAAGGAACAGUUGAUCAAAUUAUAUAUAUUAAAGAAUGCAGUCUAACUGUAGUUUUGAGAAAGUGUUUAUGCUUUGCUAGCACAUGUAGGAUUUUAGAGAGUAGGGUUACAGAGAACAGAAAUCCCUAUCUGUUUACUCUUUAUUGUGUGAACAAUGUAAAGCAAGGAAAGAAAAAGAGUCAAGGCUAGGACUGCUCACGGAUAGAAGAUACAAAGUUAGAAAAAUUGGGCAAAAGUCAGGUGUGAAGAGACAACCUUGAAUUUAUCAAAGAUGAG
ensembl:lincRNA